CAGAAGAAGACAACCCAUUCUGGCUGCCGGAACGACUGACACGGAGAAUUCUGACACCUGAAGAUGACUCCCGGAUGGAUCCCUUGGAAACUACCUCUAGUCCUCGUGCUACCUCUGUGGAUUUGGGUUCCUAGUAUAUUUGGAGAGUAUAGAUGGGCAAUUCUGUCUGCUUUCCCUAAGCCCAUGCCUGUCCAUCAUAAUACAGAUGUUUUUCCCAAGUUUUUUACGACCAAUAAAACUUCAGGCCUGCCAUACCUACCAUUUGACCCUAUCUGGGCACCACUGGGAGAAAAACGCUCUUUAAGGGAACGAGGUUCUUUCUGUUUCCAAAUUUAUGAAUUAGGAAAUUGUAUCAGACUCACCAGCCGAGCUUUGGGUAUGUUUUUUAAGCAUCGAGGAGGUUGGGUGAAAAUAACCCAAGACACUUCCAACAGACAUAUAACCCUUACAAAUCGGACCUUCUGGCAUGAGGCAACUUGGGUUAAUGGUAUAUUUCUACCACCUAACUUCUCAGGCAAAGAACGUCCCAAUCAAUCAAAAAUGGCUCCUCAUUGUAGCUUGGAAGAUGAAGGGCUGAUCAUGCC
rnacentral:lncRNA from 1 species